CGCCCUUGGAUCCAGACUUGAUCAUGGCUCGGGACGAACGCUGGCGGCGCGCCUAACACAUGCAAGUCGAACGAGAGAGAGGGAGCUUGCUUCCUCGAUCGAGUGGCGAACGGGUGAGUAACGCGUGAGGAACCUGCCUCAAAGAGGGGGACAACAGUUGGAAACGACUGCUAAUACCGCAUAAGCCCACGGCUCGGCAUCGAGCAGAGGGAAAAGGAGCUAUCCGCUUUGAGAUGGCCUCGCGUCCGAUUAGCUAGUUGGUGAGGUAACGGCCCACCAAGGCGACGAUCGGUAGCCGGACUGAGAGGUUGAACGGCCACAUUGGGACUGAGACACGGCCCAGACUCCUACGGGAGGCAGCAGUGGGGAAUAUUGCACAAUGGGGGAAACCCUGAUGCAGCGGCGCCGCGUGGAGGAAGAAGGUCUUCGGAUUGUAAACUCCUGUUGUUGAGGAAGAUAAUGACGGUACUCAACAAGGAAGUGACGGCUAACUACGUGCCAGCAGCCGCGGUAAAACGCAGGUCACAAGCGUUGUCCGGAAUUACUGGGUGUAAAGGGAGCGCAGGCGGGCGAUCAAGUUGGAAGUGAAAUCCAUGGGCUCAACCCAUGAACUGCUUUCAAAACUGAUUGUCUUGAGUAGUGCAGAGGUAGGCGGAAUUCCCGGUGUAGCGGUGGAAUGCGUAGAUAUCGGGAGGAACACCAGUGGCGAAGGCGGCCUACUGGGCACCAACUGACGCUGAGGCUCGAAAGUGUGGGUAGCAAACAGGAUUAGAUACCCUGGUAGUCCACACCGUAAACGAUGAUUACUAGGUGUUGGAGGAUUGACCCCUUCAGUGCCGCAGUUAACACAAUAAGUAAUCCACCCGGGGAGUACGACCGCAAGGUUGCAACUCAA
rnacentral:rRNA from 1 species